UGGGUGUUGCUCUUCCAUGCUGGGAUCCUUAGUAGGCCAGGUGAGGACGAUGGCGUUGCUCCUACUUCUGCUGGCGUGGUUUAGUAGAGUCUCCUAUGUUUGGAACUACUGUUUCCUCCUUGUUUCGGAUUCUUCAUCGUUGAGUUCAUUUCAUAUACCAGAAUUUGUUAACUUGUGGCAGCAUGUGACUCCAUCUUGGUAAUCAGAUGAUCAAUUGUAACAAGUCUAUUUAGAGGUCCUAUAAUAUUGUCGAGACUCGAUAUUCAGAUGUAAUGUUAAAUAUUUCUACGUAUUGUAUUGUGAUGAAUAUAUAUGUUUCAAUUUGGUAUUGUAAUGAAGUGCUAGUAUAUUACACUAUUACUAAUUGGAGGUUCCUAAAUCCUCGCGAUGUGCUCUAGAAAAAUAGAUAAAUCUUAUAAAUUCCCACAAAAUUAAAAUUAGAAACAUCCAACCGUCAAUCCAGUAGACUCUAAUCGUAAUAGCCAUCGGAUCUAUUAUGUUAUCGAAAAACAUAAUCACAUCCCUCAUUAUAAUAAUAGCCUCAUUAUAAUAAUAGUAUAAAGUAACUCCUAAUUCUAUAUCGAAAUUUCCCACCUCUAGCAUAGGUGGGUAAUUUAUAUGGUUGGCAUCAUAACGAUACAUCCAGUUUGUAGCUGUGAAUCUAUUGAGCCGGUUAUGAUGCUGGAACACAACCAGUGGUAGAAGAUGGAACAAAUUUAGGAGUACGGAAUAAAUUUAAGGUCUGACAAAAUCAAAAAUUGAAAGUAACCAAAAAGAUAUCCUUUUCAUUAAUAGCACGAAACAGUGAAGGACGGAAUAAAUUGCAACCUCGAUGAUCAAACAUUUAGGAGAUAAUAGCUGCAGGUCAAGAGAUGAUCAAACAUUUAGGAAACAACACAUGAAAUGCACAGCCACCGAUUGACCAAAACAAAAAGGAAAUUAAAAUGAAUGCCUAAUGAUUUGAUUUCAAAUAAAAAAUGCUAAAAAUGAAAAUUUGCAAUUUGUACCUCUCAAUUCAGCCUUGCCCUUGCCCUUACCCUUGGACUCCAUUUUAGCCUGUGCACUUCGGAUUCCCUGCGUUGUACGCUGCUUCUUGUAACACCAAUGGUGUUUACUAUAAAUUAAACCUUACUUAAGCACUAAUGAGGAGAAAUAAAAAGGAAAAGAGAAAAGAAAAGGAGAAAUACAGAAAAGAAGACUUGGUCAAACAAGGUUGAAUUAGAGACUUGACUAAGUCAACCAUGGUCAAAUUAAGUCAAAAAGGUGAAUUUGGAUCAAUUGUGACAAAUGGAGUGGAUUAAAUUCAAAUCCAGUUUGAAUUUUUAAAUUUAAACUUGAUUUGGAAAGAGGAGUCAAAUGUGGUCAAGUACCCAUGUUUGAGUGCUGUUUCAAAAGGAUUUUAUAUAACAACUUUGGAAAAUAUUCUACUAAGAGUUUGAGUAUAAUGUGUAUAGAACAAUUUGGACUUGAUGUGGUUCACAGAAAAUGGAAUUUGGGUAAUUUAAUUGAGGCUCAAAGUUUGAACUAUGUGCUGUUUGGAGACUUAGGCAGAUUCUCAAUUCAGUGUCUGUAACUGAAACUCAUAUUCAGUUCAUAAUCAAAUCUUCAGAACUCUUAAUCUCUCAAACCGUGGAUCCUUUGAACAAAGUUCAUAUCUAUCAUUUGUAUACCUAUGUUACAUCUACAUUUUUGUUUAUUGGUGCUUGAAGAGAUUGUGUUUGGUUCGGAUGAAUUUAUCUUAAGAAAUAAGGAAUGUUUCUGUGUACCGAAGCCAAAACAUACAACGGUAAGGGUGCCUUUGGUUGGACUUUCCAACCUACUUUUGCAAGUCAAAAGCCAACCAAAGGACCUAAAAACCACAUAUAGUUUAGGUUAAAAGCUGCUUUUGCUCUAGGGUGUGUUUGAUUGGGCUGUGGCUUUUGGAAAAGCUGUUGUGAGCUGUAGGCUGUAGAAAAGCAGUUGUGAGAAAGUAGCUGUGGGAAAAGCAGACUGUGAAACUGUAGGUUGUGUAAGAAAUACAUAUAAUGUCCCUAAAGGUUUGAGGGUCUGUUUAUAUGCAAAUUGUUCGUAACAAAAUAUUGUGUUUACUAAUUUGCAUGUAAAUGAGUACUUUAGAAAGAAAAAAAAUAAAAUUUAUAUGUUCUUCAUCCAUCAAAGUAAUUGGUCCACAUAAAUAGAACAAUAUUCAUCAAAAGACUUAUACAAUGAUGCUAUCCCUCAACAUUACUGUCCUCUUCUCACACUAACCAAAGCAUCAGCUAUCGUAGUACGAAUGGUAUUCAUGGUAUCAUUCUCCACACGUUUCUCAUCUUCGGAGUCUUCGGAUAUGACUAUUUAUUGACGAAAUAUUUUUUAUUUCCAUAACCAUAUCCAUUAGUGGGUCCCAAUUAUCAUUGUUGGUGCCUAUCGUUUCUUUUUUUCUUUUUGCUUCGACUGUAUCUUCUAGCAUUGGACGAGCAUCGUCUCCCAAGCUUAGUCCCAGGAUGGAGAGGAGCUUGAGCUUGCCUGGGCCAUAGCCGCCCAAUGUGAGCUUUGCCUGCGCCAUGGCUGCCCAGCUCGAGCUUGCCAACGCCAUGGCCGCCCAGCUUGAAGACGAAGUACAACACCUUGGUGCACAGUAGGAAGUUGCGCUCGACGGUGAAGACGAUGAGCGUGACGAGCCACUAGCUGAGAAGGUGGCCGGAGAAGGUGGCCGGAGAAGAUGGCGGUGACCAUGACACAACACUUCUAGAUCUCCAGCCCCAACAGGAUGCGCCCCCCGCAGGGGCCGCACGACGACGCUGACGACGAGCAGCGCGAGGACGAGGACGAGCACGGAGAGCUCAAGGCCGAGGCGCGCCUGGCGGUGGCACCGUGCCGCGAAGGCGGGUCUCCGGGAGCCGUCCCUGUUGCGGAAGAGGUCCUCCUUGUGGUCGGCAAUCCAUCCGAGCUACAAUCCAUCGUCAGCAAUGCAUCAUUAAGAAAAAUGGUAUCUGGAAAAGAUAUGGGUAGUUUAUUGUCAGUGCAGAAGAUCUGAGCUACAAGGUUUAGAGGAAGGCAGGUCUCGUAGUGCCGCUGUUGUAGAUAGGUCUAUUUUACAUCGCUAUUGGCUUCUUCAUUGUUAUUGAGGUUAUUGCUGGGUUACAAUCUAUGGUUCUGGUUUUUGUCGGACCAGCUACAGUAAGAUUGCAUCGACUUCUUUCAGUGUACCGAUCAUAAGAUCUAGUAAAAUUCACUUGAAAUUACACGCAAAUCGGCAAAUGUUCUGUAUUUUGUCAAAGAAGAAAAAGGAAGUUGUGUUACAGGAUAACGACUAUAAUUUUACUGGGGCAAGAAAUUAGACAUGCCGAAUUUUUACCACAUAUUGUUUGCACAUUUCAUUGCCAAAAAAAGGCAUUGAUCAGCCCCAUCUAAACGUUUUAAAUAAAUGAAUGCAACACAUAGCGUUCAUCUGAUACUGUUGUAAUAUGUAUCUGCCAUCUUCUAAAUCUCAACUAAAAACUUACAUCCCUAGUCAUUGCAAUAGCAACCUGUCUCUAUCAUCCUCAGUGCAUCAAGUAACAGACAUCAGGAAUGCACCACCACUCGCUAUCAUCUUAGCCGUAUGAUUCUAAAUUUCUAAUUAAUUACUCCCUCUGUCCCAAAAGACUAUUCGUUUAGUCUCCAAAACUUGUCCUAUAAAGAGUGUUUUAUAACUUUCAGACCAUCCAACAAAGGCCUUCAUAAAACCUUCUGGCCCAGUGAACGAAUCGAUCAAUUACUCCCAUCAUCGAUGCCCGAUCCAGACUCGCUAAAUAAGGAAGGCUAAUAGGUUCGACAAUUACUAUAAGCGUGCAUGCAUAAUUAAUUAUACUUGGCAAUCCAUCCGAUUAAGAAGAAUUAUUAGAGGUACUUUGAACUUCUAGUAUUUCUACUAUCUUGUCUAAAAUUUUUUAAACGUCUUUGUGGGACGGAGCGAGUAGGCGCCUCUAGUUGUUGAAUUAUAUUUGUUUAUGAAAAAAGGCAAUCACCCAGCAUAUAGUGCCUACAUUUAUUUCUUACAGUGACAAAUAUUAUUUGCAUCACACAGCCUUUUAAUUUUCUGAUUCAUUCACCAAUUAUUAACCACUGUGCACGAACCGCCUAAUAACCCGGAUCAGCUCGUCCGAGGCCUCCCCGCACGGCUCCGUGACGAAGAAGGCGUGCCCCUGCCCCUCGAACACGACGAGCUCGACCUCCUUGCCGGCCGCCCUCAGCCUCGCGACGUACUCCCCGACGCGGUCGUGGAGCACGUCCUGGUCGGGAUCGAGGACGAGCACCGGCGGGAAGUCGCCGCCGAGGUCGCCGAACGGGACGCUCCCCGGCGCGAGCGGGUUCGCGAUCGGGUGGUCCUUGGUGGCGCCCGCCGGCAGCGCCAGGCGCCACAACUGGUCGAACAGCGCCAUGCCCAUGGGCUCGCCGGGCUGGGACGCCGCCUCGGACGGCGUCAGCUCCUCGCCGCCGAAGUAGGGCCAGAGCAUCACGCAGCCGGCGAGCCGGAGCGGGGUGAGUGGGAGCUCCCCGGACCCGUGGCGCACAGAGAUGUGGUGCGCAAUGUUGCCGCCGGCCGAGUCGCCGGUGACGAACACCCGGCGGAAGUCGGCCGACUCGGCGAGCCACAGGUCGGCGCCGGCGCCGGACGCGGCGGCGGUGGCCUGGGAGCGGAGCCAGGAGAAGACGGACUCGGCGUCGUCGAGCGCGGCGGGCAGGCGGUGCUCGGGCGCGAGGCGGUAGUCGGCGGAGAGCACGACGGCGGGCAGCUCGGCGGCGAGGCGGAGCGCGCCGGCGUGGAAGUUGAUCACCUCGAAGCUGGCGACGCAGAAGCCGCCGCCGUGGAAGUACACGAGCACCGGCAGCUUCUUCUCCUCCAACCCGCCGCCAGCGCCGGCGGUGGAGAGCCGGUACAUGCGGAGCCGGAGGCCGUGCGCGCCGUCGUAGACGACGUCCUUCCACUCCACGGGCAGGUCCGGCGGCGGCACGCCGCCCACGAGCGGGAAUACCGAGUAGUCCGUGGACCGCCUCACCGUGCCGUCGCUGAGCAGCUGGACGAGGCCGAGGCAGUCCUCGACGACAUGUGGCGCUGCCGCCGAGCUUGCUGGAACGGCCGACGACAUGACAAGUUGGCUACUGAACAGCGAACACAGGAGUGUGACCGAGCAAGUCACGAAGCUUUACGGCCGAUAAAUAGCCAGGCAUGGUCGCAAGGAUGCCCUGGCCUUUUAUUUCGUUGACUUGGACUGACUACCGGACCCACCGGUAAGCGACACUAGGCUAGUCAGAGAGCCGUGCGUCGAUCAGCCGCCGUGGACUUCUCCUACCCGCGAAGUGAGAUUUUCCACGCGUGACAAGCACAAUCCGUGCCACGGAGGAUGACACGUCACUGUCUCCACGUGUCGAAUGCUCGUCGGUCACUGCAACGAAGAUAAGCUCGGAGUGAGCAGUGGCCACUGUUGGUCAAAGCGUUCCCAUCAGAUCACGGCGGCCGUGUGCAGUUGGCAGUUGCUUGUCUGAUCAUGUGACCAUGUCUAGUUCCAACCUGGGUGUUGCUCUUCCAUGCUGGGAUCCUCGGUAGGCCAGGUGAGGACGACGGCGUUGCUCCUACUUCUGCUGGCAUGGUUUAAGUAGAGUCUCCGUUAGGAACUACUGUUUCCUCCUUGUUUCGGAUUCAUCAUCUAGAAAAAAUAGAUAAAUCUUAUAAAUUCCCACAAAAUUAAAAUCCGAAACAUCCAACCGCCAAUCCAAUAAACUCUUAUCAUAAUAGCUAUUGGAUCUAUUAUGUUUACUAAAAAAUUAAUCACAUCCCUCCUUAUAAUAAUGGUAUAAAGUAACUCCUAAUUCUAUAUCGAAAUUACCCACCUCUAGCAUAGGUGGGUAAUUUAUAUGAUUGGCAUCAUAACAACACAUCCAGUUUGUAGUUGUAAAUCCAUUGAGCUGGUUAUAAUGCUGGAACACAACUAGUGGUGGAGGAUGGAACAAAUUUAGGAGUAUGGAAUAAAUUUAAGGUCUGACGAAAUAAAAAAUUGAAAGUAACCAAAAAGAUAUCCUUUUCAUUGUAAUAGCACGAAACAGUGAAGGACGGAAUAAAUUGCAAGCACGAUGAUCAAACAUUUUGUUGGCGCUAAAAGUCAGCCGAUUGACUCUUAGCGUCGGACACACGACCCGGGAGAAUCUAUUUAGCUCCUGUUCGGGUGAUCGCUCUGGUGCGGUUCGCGCGGCUUGCCAGCCAAUCUGACCUGUUGAUUGGCAAGGAAGGAAACGUGUCAAAUUCCAGGGGUUCUGAUCGGCUAAGGUUCCGAUCUCGAGGAAGCGUAUCAGCGAAUCGGCCGAUUUGCUAUGAAAAGACAAUCGGCUAUGAUACAGCCGACGAUCGUGUAGCAAUUGCGAAGAAAACUAUUUGAGUAAACUAGACAAAGCUACGAAAGCAACACUUGAAAUAGAUCUAAUCGGCUAUAUGAUAAUGAUGAAUGAAAAUAACAAUAACAAAGCCGACAAUUCAAAUCUCAAGCUGGAUAAUUGGUGAUAAAACUAGAACAAUAGAUAAAACCUAUAAUUCUAGUAAAUAUCGAUAACUGGUGAAUAAAUCUAAACGAAACGACAGCGAUGCGCCCGAAGUUAAAGCUUAGAUAUUACUCGAUAAGCGGAACUUACAGAAUCGGCCGGAGAUUGUGUCGAUGCAGCUCUGCCAACCUGCACGAACUCGUGAAAGAAGAAAUGUAUUGGCGAAGUCGCCGACUUGAAAGUAAAGUGCGAUGAAAAAGUAGAUUUGUUUGUAUUGAUUGAUGUGUUGUUUACAAAUCUCUAAAAGUGGCUAUUUAUAGCCUGUUACAACCAACUUCCUAACUGACUAGUAUCUAUCUCUAAUCUUAAACAAAAACGAAUAUUUACAAACACAACUCGUAUCGGAGUUGGUUAUUAUACUCCUGCGGACCAAUCUUUCUCUAUCUUCUUUCUCUGAUCCACUUUAAGCCCAUAUUGGCCCAAUCGCUCCAGCCUUCCAGUCGGCCGAUCUCUACCAACUCCGCCCGCCAAAAUACUGUAGCGUCAAUCAGCCGAUCCCCAACUGUAGCACCAAUUGGCCGAUUCCCAAUUGUGACCUUUUAAUCUGCUGCAUCGGCCAGUCCUUUCCUUCCUUGACGCCGAUUCCAUACGUGUCAAAAUCUGGCGUCAACACAUUUAUAAUAAGAGAUGAUCAAACAUUUAGGAAACAACACACGAAAGUGCGCAACCACCGAUUGACCAAACGGAAAAAAAUUUAAAAUGAACGCCUAAUGAUUUGAUUUCAAAUAAAAAAAAUGCUAAAAAUGAAAAUUUGCAAUCUGUUCCUCUCAAUUUAGCCUUGCCCUUGCCCUUCGACUCCAUUUUAGCCUAUGCACUUCUGAUUCCCUGCGCUGUACGUUCUUCUGUUGCCGGCCGGCCGACGGUGCACUUCGGCACCCGUACGUCGCACUGUCGCAUCUCGCCGGGCGCACCGUCGCAGCAUGACCUCGGGCCUCGACGUCGCCCGUGACCCGUGAUCGGCAAAGCGCUAAGGGUUGCGACGAGCACAAGCGCUAGGUCUCUCGUGUGGAUUUUGGGCUGCUAGUGUUUUGGGCCAUUACGCACCAGGGCAAAAAAAACAAACAAAUCAAUUGGCCCAAUGCAAAGAACACUCGGCCUUGUAACGGUUGGCAGCCUGACGUUUCCUUUCUUCUUCCUGGACCUUUUACAUUCAAUCAGUUCGUCGCUCAUACAGGCAGCCAUGACGUCCUGUGUGUAGUAGAUGCAGCAACGGAAGGGGAAUGCCAUACUGGGCACAACUGAUUCUUGAGCAACUGGGAGUGACAUGCAGUUCUGCAACAGUUCAAAUUAAAGGAACUGCAAAUAAAUGGAUGUAAAUGAAGGCAGAGAAAGAAGAAAAAGGAUCGAAUCAAAGAGAAAAAGGAAAACCCACAUGCUAUUGCUAGAAUCAAGAUCAUGGCACACAGAUGCAGCCAAAGGGUCCGAUCGAUCUGAAAAGGAGAAGGGAACUGCGUGGUGGCAUGAUCGCCCCCACAGCCCCACCUUCCAGGUGGCGAUGACAGUUUUGUGUCUCGCUCAGUCUGCGAAAGAUUAAUUGCAGCGAUCUGGGCACUAAGUAAAGAACAAGGAAACAAUUUAUCGACAAGCUAAUUUAUCGAUCAUCCUGUGACUCGUGUUUUUGUAUGUGUGAUUAGUUUUUUUUUCCUUUGUGGACAAGCUGAUUUAUCGAUCAUCCUGUGAAGAAUUCCAUUUUUCUCGAUUCAAAAGCUCAGAUGGAUUAUCUUGUUGAGUUCCGACUGUUUCCGUAUUCUCUCCAUGACUCCAAAGAGCAACAAAACCCACCACCAUAUUAACAACCAAAUAAAAACGCGUUCCGUAGAACAUACGCUUCUGUCGGUGAAACCGAAGAUGAAAGGACGAAGGAAGACGAGCAAAAAAGGAAAAGCUUUGUUUUGUGCUUUUGAGUCCCCCACCGUCAUGCAUUUGUUCCAAUUUUAUUAUAGUUUUGGUGCUGAGAAUGAUGUAAAAACUUUGUUGUGUGCGGUUGCAGAGGUUGGAAACAAUUUCCUUUUUCUAAAAUAAAAAAAUGCAUUUGCACACAGGACUCCUUUUUAGCUACGUGUUCUUUUUUUAUUUGCUUCUUUAAAACUUACCAUUGGCGGAGAAGUGGAAAUAUUAACGUGGCCUUAUUCUAACAAGCAAAUUAAUUAAGUUAACUGAACAAUCAAAUUAAUUAAGCUAAAGAAGUGACCAUGUGCGUGCAUUUCGUCUAUCUACAACGGAUCUUUUGACUUGAAACAAAAAUACCUAAAGGCAGUCAAGGUACCUUUUGGCAAGGAGACUAUCAUCAUUGCCAUAACAGAAAAUAUUUUAGGCUUAAUCUAGAUGCCCUAGGCAGUAAUAAAAGGCAGUAAUAAGGAGAUUACUUUACUAUUACUAAUUGGAUAUUCAUUUCAAAGGCCGUUAUAAAAAAAAAGUAAAUCCAAAAAAUACUCAUAAAAAUAAAAAAUAUCUGAGACCAUAUGGUAUACCCUAAUCAUUAAUGGUGGAUCCACAGAUUGUAUUGUAUGGAGCCCGAGCAGAGACUAAGACAUUUCCCUUGCUGUCUCCGGCAAACGAUGUUCCAACUAUGGAUUAAAACAACUAUCCUCUUGCAGAUGUGGCGCUGGAACCCGAGUAGCCUUGGGCCACCCCUGGUAAUCAUCAUUGAUAAAAGUAGACAUUCAAUAAUAUAUUAUGUUUUGUUUAAUAAUUACACACAUCUAUCGUUAAUUGCACUUCUAACUUUAUGACUACGACGGGCACAGCUUUGGAAAAGAAAGGAACAUAUUCGCGAGCAACCAUAUAAUAAGGAGGUAUUUUCUUCCACUAACUUAUUUUUAGCACGUGUCACAUCGAAUGUUUAGAUAUUAAUUAGGAGUAUUAAACGUAGACUAUUUACAAAACCCAUUACAUAAUACAAAACUGAACGGUAAGAGGGAUCGAUUAAGGCUAAUUAAGCCUAAUUAAUCCCAUCAUUAUCAAAUGAUUACUGUAGCAACACGAUUGUCAAAUCAUGGACUAAUUAGGCUUAAUAGAUUCAUCUCGCUGUUUAGAUUCGUCUUGUGUAAUGGGUUUUGUAAAUAGUCUACGUUUAAUACUCCUAAUUAGUAUCUAAACAUUCGAUGUGACGGUUGCUAAAAAUAAGUCAGUGGAAGAAAACGGGGCCUAAGCAUCAAAAGCAAAGAUAGGGAGCAGGAAAAAGCAAGCGCAUUCAGAAAAAAAAAAACAUAUGGAGGAAACCCAACGUACUUGGGAAGAUGAAACUGCAGGAUUGAGCACUAACCAUCCAUAAGCAAACACAUUAUUCCGAGAGCGGGCAGGCAGCCGUAUCGAACUGGCGUCAGUCAACUAGAUCUCCGCCUUACGGUAAAAUAUUUCUGUGCAUUUCUGUGUUCUGUUUAGAAUUUAGCAGAGAUUGCAUGAUGCUAGCAAGCAGUGAUACUGAUCCCAUAUGUUGAACACCUUAUAUGCCUUAGUUUCCAUUCCAGUGUGAUUAGUUCCUUAAUUUGUGUGCUUGUACCAACAACUUGCUCUAAUCUUGACAUAUGUGAAUUAAAUCAGCUGGCCCAUGGCUGGAAGGAAUUACACCAUAGACGACUGCGUCUACGCUGCACUGGGCAAAUGCUCCGCUAGGAUUACAUGCGAGGCUGAUAUGGCGUCCUCAUUCCACAAGAGCUUGGGAGAGAACAUAUGGCUUAUGAACUCACUCCUGCUCACCAGUGCCGUCCUGGCUGGAGUCAUAGCAGGGAUAGGCAUCUACGGCCAGCGCUACCGCCACCACCGCUACACCAGGUUUAUCUUCCUCGGAGCCACGACCCUAUUCUUGCCUGUCGUCUCCACUGUUGUCUCCAUGCGCACCGGGAACAGUGACCACAGCAUACAUAGGCAUGAUGAGGCCACUCAUUUGAUUGCAGACUGCGGCCCAAAAGGACUAUCGGUCCUGAUUCUAAUAUGGGCAUCCCUUGUUCAGAUCAUCAUGAUCAAUACCAGUGCAGUAGUUGCUGUCGAUGAUAGAGAAGGUGGAAACGUAGGUCCUCCAUUUGAGCUGCUUGUUCAGGGUGUCUGGAUCUUUUACCUUGGUAUCAGCAAUGUCAUUCCCGCCGCUCGCACAAAUGACAUCACGGUACUAAUUAUUGGUGCCUUUGAAGCCACACCUUUUGCUCUCACGUUUGCCAAAAUGGUAUUGAAAUAUUAUGCAUAUGAAAAGGCGCGACAAUCCUUUGGUCUCGGACGCAAUCCCCAUCUUAUUUUUGGAUACAUGAAGCAACAAUCGUUACAAGAAACAAGUCACGAUGGUGAACCAAUGGUAGCUGAGGAUGCACCUCCCCCGCUGCUGGUUAUGGGAGAAGAGAAAAGACACGUGGAGAAGCAGCCUCUUGGGUAUGUGUUCAAGGAUGACUCAUGGACAACUUCGCAUAAUAAUGGCCUGGUGACUAUUGAUAGAGUUUGGAGGAUGGAUAACGUGCUUCCAACAUCAACACUGAAACCAAAAAGACUUAUGCUUGUCAUUUGCACUGUUCAAGUUGUUGCGGUGCCGAUUUGCAAGGUACAAGGUCAGAACUGCUGCCUCUAAGGGCACCUUCAGUUUUUUCUGGAGCUUAUUGCUGAAGGAUGGCGAACAUGAUAGGGUGUUUUUGGUCAUUUCGGAUGAGCUUUCUUUCCUUCAUGAUUAUUAUUAUUCAUCCCUCCCGAUCUCCUAUUCCAAGUAUUGGUUGCCCGUUGCCGGUAUCUUGAUCUCACUACUGAGCAUAGCUUACUGUUGUGUAUUGAUGAUCGCAGUAACGCUUGUGGAAGUCCUGUCGUUGCUGGAUGAUUCAGCCAGCGGACCUCAGAUUGAGUGCACUGUUUUUUGCAUUCGAGGACCUCUGAUGAGCAAGCCCAUGGAUACAGAAUAUGGGAACUACAACUUCGAUCUGGUGCCAUUAAUUUUGCUUUCGGUGUUAGUCAUGAUGUCUGAGGUGAGGGACAUAGCUACCUACAUCUACUCCAACUGGACUAAAGUUGCCGUCACCUGCCACCUUGUAAACCAUGCCUCUUCACAGCAUUCACUUCUCAAGAAGAAAUGGAUUGGCCUUCUGCUGCGUUGUCGAUGCAAGCUGAUGAAGCAUUGGGAUGAGAAAAUAGGUCAGUGCACUAUGCUGGAGAUUUGCCCGAGAACAACCGUGCCUGUACUUCUCAGGCGUCUCCUCAACUUACCAGACCACAAGAGGAAGGUCAAUGUGCCUGCAGCAGUGAAGGUUUGCAUCAUGGAAGUUGUAAGAAGCACUAGAAAUAGAGACCUUAGCAAUGGCACAGCAUCUCUCCGCUGCCGGGGCCAAGUUGGUGAAAGGCUCCUCUGGGCUUGCAACAACAAGAGUGUGUCUUAUACCAUACUGACAUGGCACAUCGCCACAAUAAUCCUCGAGGUCAGGUACCCACACCGGCUUGAUCAACAACAAGGUUCCUCUUCUCCAAUUCCGAACACGGAUUAUAAGAUCGUUGCCACUCACCUAUCAAGGUACUGUGCUUACCUUGUGACAUGGUGCCCUGAGUUACUCCCUGAUGAUGAUGCAUGGAGCAGGAGCCUGUACGAGGAUGUCAAGAAGGAUGUUGAGCGUGUACUUGCCGGCUGCACAGCAGGAGACUCACUGACGCCAGAAGCAAAUUGCCAACAGCUGAUCGAAGUGCUGAGUGCAGAUGCGAAGCAUGAAGUGCUCAAGGAAGGCGCUAGGCUUGGAAAGCAGUUGUUGGCGCUGGUGGUCGAAGGUGAGGACGAUACGGCGUUGUGGAAGUUACUGGCUGAAUUUUGGUCGGAGAUGAUCGUGUAUGUCGCGCCAUCCGACAACCAAAAAGGUCAUUCGGAGGCCAUCGCCAGGGGUGGCGAGCUGAUAACUCUGCUCUGGGUGUUGCUCUUCCAUGCUGGGAUCCUCAGUAGGCCAGGUGAGGACGACGGCGUUGCUCCUACUUCUGUUGGCGUGGUUUAGUAGAGCCUCCUAUGUUUGGAACUACUGUUUCCUCCUUGUUUCGGAUUCUUCAUCGUGGUGCGUUGUCUGCAGUUGUUUGUGUAUGUUGAGUUCAUUUCAUAUACCAGAAUUUGUUAACUUGCGGCAGCAUGUGACUCCAUCUUGGUAAUCAG
rnacentral:lncRNA from 1 species